rnacentral:lncRNA from 1 species
UCUUGCUUAAUUCUGUCUUUCAGUUAUGUGAUAGCUCUGAAGGCAUACUUUGUUAAAACUGCAUGGGGAAAAUGAGCCACAACAAUAUCCACCCCGCCUUCGAGAACCAGGAUGCCAAUUAAACAUAGUUUCACUUGAAACUCAAAGAAACAAGGAGGGGGAAACUGUGGCACUCAGGGAAGCAUACUUCUCCUCUGUCUAGUCCGCACUCCCUCUGGCCUGCUGCACUGUCUCUAAAAGAUGACAAAUAAACAUCUGGAAAUGGAGAAUCACAAGAUGUCUUAAAACCUCUGUUCAAGCUUUCAUCUAUCAAACCCUUACUGAGCCCUGAUGUGGUUUAAGUGUCCAUGCAUGGGUCUGGAACUGCUUGCCUCAGCCCCUGGAGGAUCAGAGUUCUCAUGCGCUCUUCAGGGUAUUGACAGAGGGCCCAAUACGUUGGGCUGAUACACUGUCCUGCCUGCCUCUGACAGCUCAGAUUUAGAAAUUACCUCGGUCGUGUGGAAGAUGGUGAUCAGAGUGACAAUGCUCCAGUAUAACCUCCAGGUCCAGCUUAAAACUACAGAACAUUACAGAUGGAAGAACCUUUAUAAUUAAUAACCCCCUUAACAUGUACCAGGUGCUGUGCAAAGAAUUUAUCAUUCCAUAACUCACUUAAGCCUCACCAACAACUUCAAAGGGAGUUACAGUUAUUAUUUCUGCUUUAAAGAUGAAGAAACUCAGACUCAGAACGGUUAAUCAUAUUGCCUCGGGAACACAGUGAGCAAGUGGCUGAGCUGGUAUAUGAAACCAGAUUUGUCUGACUGAUGGUAGAAUCCUCACUUUUUAAUACUGUGCAGUAGAUCACUUGUAUCAUUAUUCCAACCUUUUUUUCUUCUCUAAUGUUUUGCAACAAAUGAUUUGGCUGAUCCUUUUCAAUAACCCUAUCCACCUCAAAAAUAAGCAACCUCCAAAGCUCUUUAUUCUUAUCUAAUUUAAAAACCACCAAUCAAAUUGAA